GCCAAACAGCUAGCUUAAUGACCAAAAUAACUAAACAACGCAAAUAACACAACAUAACCAAAACCUACAAACUAAACCAUUUUUCCACCUUAGUACGGGAGACGGAAGAGGUGCCCAUAAGCAAUAGAAAAAGUACCGCAAGGGAAAGCUGAAAAAGUAAUGAAACAACCCAUAUAAGCACUAAAAAGCAGAGACUCAGCCUCGUACCUUUUGCAUCAUGAUUUAGCCAGUAUACCCAGGCAAAGAGACCUUUAGUCUGAAACCCCGAAACCAGGUGAGCUACCCCGGGACAGCCAACAUGGGCCAACCCAUCUCUGUGGCAAAAGAGUGGGAAGAUCCCCGGGUAGAGGUGAUAGACCUACCGAACUUGGUGAUAGCUGGUUGCCUAAAAAAUGAAUAGAAGUUCAGCCUCGUGCCCCUUAAGCGAACUAAGCAACAUCUAACUAGCACAAAUAAGCGAAACACGAGAGUUAGUUAAAGGGGGUACAGCCCCUUUAACAAAGAAUACAAUCUUACACAGGAGGAUAAAGAUCACAUUUCACAAAACACGUCAUCUCAGUGGGCCUAAAAGCAGCCAUCUGGACAGAAAGCGUUAAAGCUCAAACGACAAAAAGUUUAUUAUCUUGAUAAAAAAUCUCACUCCCCUAAAUCUAUUAGGCCACUCCAUGCUAACAUGGAAGAAACUAUGCUAAAAUGAGUAACAAGGGGACCCAUCCCCUCCCCGGCACAAGUGUAAGCCAGAUCGGACCAACCACUGGCAAUCAGCGAACCCAAAAAAAGAGGGCAGCGUAAAGAACAAAUAAAUUCAAGAAAACCUCACAGCGCCAAAAUCGUUACCCCCACACCGGAGUGCCACCAGGGAAAGACUAAAAGAAAGGGAAGGAACUCGGCAAACACAAGCCUCGCCUGUUUACCAAAAACAUCGCCUCCUGCCAAACCUCAAAGUAUAGGAGGUCCAGCCUGCCCAGUGACCACAAGUUCAACGGCCGCGGUAUUUUGACCGUGCAAAGGUAGCGCAAUCACUUGUCUUUUAAAUGAAGACCUGUAUGAAUGGCCAAACGAGGGCUUAACUGUCUCCCCUUUCAAGUCAGUGAAAUUGAUCUACCCGUGCAGAAGCGGGUAUACGACUACAAGACGAGAAGACCCUUUGGAGCUUAAGGUACAAACCCAAUCACGUUUAAACAACCCAAUAAACGGCACAAACCUAAUGAAACAUGGGAUUUUACCUUCGGUUGGGGCGACCGCGGAGAACAAAAGACCCUCCAUGUGGACUGAGCCAAAAAGCUUAAAACCAAGAAAGACAUUUCAAAGUCACAGAAAAUCUGACCAACUAUGAUCCGGCCCACUAAGGCCGAUCAACGGACCAAGUUACCCUAGGGAUAACAGCGCAAUCCUCUCCCAGAGUCCAUAUCGACGAGGGGGUUUACGACCUCGAUGUUGGAUCAGGACAUCCUAAUGGUGCAGCCGCUAUUAAGGGUUCGUUUGUUCAACGAUUAAAGUCCUACGUGAUCUGAGUUCAGACCGGAGCAAUCCAGGUCAGUUUCUAUCUGUAAUGUUACUUUUCCUAGUACGAAAGGACCGGAAAAGAGGGGCCAACGCUAAAAGCGCGCCCCGCCCCUAAUUGAUGAAAACAACUAAAUCAAACAAAGGGAGAACCCACAUACCCGCCUAAAUAAGGCCAC
rnacentral:rRNA from 1 species